rnacentral:rRNA from 1 species
AUUGAACGCUGGCGGCAGGCCUAACACAUGCAAGUCGAACGGUAGCACAGAGAGCUUGCUCUCGGGUGACGAGUGGCGGACGGGUGAGUAACGUCUGGGAAACUGCCCGAUGGAGGGGGAUAACUACUGGAAACGGUAGCUAAUACCGCAUAACGUCGCAAGACCAAAGUGGGGGACCUUCGGGCCUCACACCAUCGGAUGUGCCCAGAUGGGAUUAGCUAGUAGGUGGGGUAAUGGCUCACCUAGGCGACGAUCCGUAGCUGGACUGAGAGGAUGACCAGCCACACUGGGACUGAGACACGGUCCAGACUCCUACGGGAGGCAGCAGUGGGGAAUAUUGCACAAUGGGCGCAAGCCUGAUGCAGCCAUGCCGCGUGUAUGAAGAAGGCCUUCGGGUUGUAAAGUACUUUCAGCGGGGAGGAAGGCGGUGAAGUUAAUAACUUCACCGAUUGACGUUACCCGCAGAAGAAGCACCGGCUAACUCCGUGCCAGCAGCCGCCGCGG